ensembl:lncRNA
CUAAAGUCACCUGACACUAUAGUCCAUACUCCCCCUUUCUCUUUUGCUGCAACUGAUUAAAAUAUUUCAACAAACACAACAAAAAUCACAUCGAAAACGGAUCAAUUUACGUCGCACUUAACGUUAGACGAACAACUAGCAUGGCAAAAAAGAACUGAUAGCCAGCAAAACCUGGUUGGGCUAACGUCUUUGUUUCUCAAUAUAACUGGAGAUACAAUUAUGGCAGCAAUAUUGAACGCUACAUCUAAACCAGACACACCCGGAGAACGAGUUAUUUCGCGCACGGUUCUCACAGGGAAAACCAAUUUCUUUCAAACGCGCUCCUGAUGCCCCACCGGCCCUGGCUCCUCCUCCGCUGCCGUUCCCAUUCCUGGCCCUGCCCCAAGUCCCAGGCCCAAGGCAGAGCCUCCACCUUCUUCCGUUCUCGGUCCCGGUUUGGAG